CGGGGUGUGGCGCAGCCUGGUAGCGCACUUGGUUUGGGACCAAGAUGUCGGAGGUUCAAAUCCUCUCACCCCGA
rnacentral:tRNA from 1 species